AAUCUGGGGGCCCGGGCCGGGGGCCGGCCGAGCUGGGUUGCGCCGGCCCGGCACUGGAGACCCGCGGCGGGUCCGGGGAGCGGCUCGCGGACUGGUUCCUCUGCCUGCCCCACCACGUGGGCGGCUGCGGGCGGCGGCCAGGGCGCGUGCUCGGUGCGGGGCUGCGGGGGCCCCCGGAGGAUGCGCUCGAGGCCUGGGGCCGAAGUCUCCCGGCCGGGCUCUCGGCACGCGGACACGCCGCGCCCGAUCGCCGAGCGGCCACUGCGGGAGCCCACCCGCACCUGCUCGCGUCCUUCCGGGCGCGUCUGUCUUCCCUCCUUUGCUCCGUAAAGGACUGGAAACUAGCGCCCGCCCGGUCUCCUCCGUGGUUUUCUUGAAGGUGCCCGAGGAGGGGUUUCCCCAAAGAGAGCCUGCCCCUGGACUGCCAUCUAAUGAAUAAAUGCUGCGGAAACCAGGUCCUUAAAGCGGGAAACAGCCCAGCGAGAUCUAGAGAGAGGAGUUUGAAAUACGUGGACUUUUAAACAUAGUGAUUGGACCACGUGUCGCCUUUAAUGUGGUCCGGCUUCAUGACUCAGGCUAAUUGAUGUCAACAGUAAAUAAAAAGAAGAUGGCUAAUAAGAAUUGUGGAUGUCGAGAUGUAGAAGUGUUUGUCUCAUAAAUAAUCAGGCUGUCUGCAAGGGGAUUCAUGAGGAGCACAAAACCCAGGAUCUUGGUUACUUCCGGGAGAAGUGGAGCAAACCGCUAAGCUCAUGCAGUGUUCCUGGAGACACGUUCAUCCUCGGAUGGGCUGGCUCUGCUUGCAGCACUGCCUUGUGUGGGAAAGAGCUCAGCAUAAGAAGGAGGCAGAGG
ensembl:lncRNA